AAGCAUCAUAGGCAUCAUAGCCAUAAAGGCAUCAUAGGCAUCAUAAGCAUCAUAGGCAUCAUAGCCAUAAAGGCAUCAUAGGCAUCAUAAGCAUCAUAGGCAUCACAGCCAUCAUAGACAUCAUAGGCAUCAUAGCCAUCAUAGGCAUCCCCACGUACUGUAGCUCAGAUGAAAUUCCCUCAACUCUCUGCCCCUCAUCAUGACCAACCUGCUCUUGCUGGUUAAAGUAAACAGCCACCUGGUGUCUUUUCAGGGAACAGCGUUCGCCUUCUUCUCAGCACUGGGUCCCGCUGUCACCUUAUCCUUCUGGGGUCUGCUGGUCUGGAUAGUUGUUCCUUUGAGGAAGGCCUGCAUGAUUCCUUCAGAUUUUCAGACCGGACAGAAGAUGUAAUACGCUGUUGGCUUUAAAACAACGACCUGACACAGAAGCAGUUUCUGAGCUAAAA